UGUGAGAGAGAGAGAGGGAGAGAGAGCAAAUGGGGCAAAACGUUAACUACUGGUGAAUCUGAGUGAAGGCUUUUCUGAAGGUUUCCUGAUUGUCAAAAACAAAAAGAAGGGAAUUGCCUCGCCGACAGCCGCGGGUUCAAUCCCUGGUCGUCGGGGAACUAAGAUCCCGCAAGCCAGCCGCCUGGUGAGGCCAAAAAAGAAAAAAAAGAAAAAGGCCUCUAACAAGGUACCCCUCCUUCAGGCACCAAGCGGCCUGGUCCAACGUUACAUCUGCUGCAAAUCAAUUGGAUUCUAUUCAUACAACGGAACAUCGUGGGCAGUGAACGAAUGGGAACAAACCGCAGCUCCAGCAACCACCCGGAGGCCUCCGGACGCAGCUGCAAGAUUCCACUGAUGAUUAAACAACAACCACCCCAAGCAAACUGAACGCAAACUGUUUUGGGCUACGUACCUGGGGGGCAAACCGCAGAGAAAGGCAAGGAAGUGGUUACCGUAAAGGUCAGCAUUGCGCUUACCUGGGGAGGGGUCACCUGCAAGGACACAUUGAGGGGCUCUGCAAGGCGGAUUUUCUUACCUUGAGUGGUAGUUACGCGGGGACGCAUUUUAUACUUAUUCAAAUACACACAUAACAGCUGUAA